AACGAACGUUGGCGGCAUGGAUUAGGCAUGCAAGUUGUGCGUACCCAGCAAUGGGAAGCAGCGUAAGGGGCGAGUAAGGACGAUGGUACCGUACCGUCGAGGCCGAGCAUAGCCCGUAGAGAUACGGGGUAAUUCUCGAUAAUGUCGUGAGACCAAAGGUCCGCCGCCUUGAGAGGGGCCCAUGUGAUAUUAGCUAGUUGGUGAGGUAAUGGCUCACCAAGGCGAAGAUGCUAGCGGGUGUGAGAGCACGACCCGCGCCACUGGCACUGAGACACGGUCCAGACUCCUACGGGAGGGCAGCAGUGGGGAAGUUUUCCGCAAUGGGCGAAAGCCUGACGGAGCAAUACCGCGCGAGGGAUGACGGCCUAUGGGUU
rnacentral:rRNA from 1 species